rnacentral:miRNA from 1 species
CUAAAGCUAACCCCACUAGAGGAUUCCUAAAAGAACAUCAGAAAGAAAAAUAAAAAGGUAUCUAGCCGUUAUUUAUUUAUCAUACCUAUUUAUUUUUCUUUCUGAUGUUCUUUUAGGAAUCCUCUAGUGGGGUUAGCUUUAG